CAGUAGCCACGGGAAUACGGAGGGUGCAAGCGUUGUCCGGAUUUAUUGGGUUUAAAGGGUGCGUAGGCGGCCUAAUAAGUCAGUGGUGAAAGCCUCCAGCUUAACUGGAGAACUGCCAUUGAUACUGUUAGGCUUGAGUAUACUUGAGGUAGGCGGAAUUGACAGUGUAGCGGUGAAAUGCAUAGAUAUUGUCAAGAACACCAAUUGCGAAGGCAGCUUACUAAAUUAUAACUGACGCUGAGGCACGAAAGUGUGGGUAUCAAACAGGAUUAGAUACCCCCGUAGUCCCUGUCUCUUAUAC
rnacentral:rRNA from 1 species